rnacentral:rRNA from 1 species
ACGAACGCUGGCGGCGUGCUUAACACAUGCAAGUCGCACGGAAAGGCCCUGCUUUUGUGGGGUGCUCGAGUGGCGAACGGGUGAGUAACACGUGAGUAACCUGCCCUUGACUUUGGGAUAACUUCAGGAAACUGGGGCUAAUACCGGAUAGGAGCUCCUGCUGCAUGGUGGGGGUUGGAAAGUUUCGGCGGUUGGGGAUGGACUCGCGGCUUAUCAGCUUGUUGGUGGGGUAGUGGCUUACCAAGGCUUUGACGGGUAGCCGGCCUGAGAGGGUGACCGGCCACAUUGGGACUGAGAUACGCACCAGACUCCUACGGGAGGCAGCAGUGGGGAAUAUUGCACAAUGGGCGGAAGCCUGAGGCAGCAGCGCCGCGUGCGGGAUGACGGCCUUCGGGUUGUAAACCGCUUUCGCCUGUGACGAAGCGUGAGUGACGGUAAUGGGUAAAGAAGCACCGGCUAACUACGUG